AAGGGUUGCCUAUACCUGAGAAAACAACCAUAAUAUCCAACAUAAAUAAGUAACAUUAUUUUGUUGACCCAGACUCCAGUUUGAGAACCCCUGUUGUAAAGCAUUGCCUACCUGGGAGGGUUGGCCAAUUUUUUUACCAAACACUGUUUUAAAAAAAAAAAA